GCCGGGGUGGUGGAAUUGGUAGACACGCUAGAUUCAGGUUCUAGUGCUCGCAAGGGCGUGGGAGUUCGAGUCUCCCCUUCGGCACCA
rnacentral:tRNA from 1 species